rnacentral:tRNA from 1 species
AAGGGGGAGAAGCCCCGGCACCUCCUGGGUGCGACUCCAAAUUUGCACUUUGG